AGAACUGCAGAUAGUACAGCUUCCACAGGAGCAAGGGAUGUCUGAGCACAAGUGGCUGAGUUCCGAGUGACUUUAUGAAGCACUUUCUACCUUCCUCUCCGGCAUGAAAACAGGGAUUCUGCACCUGCAUCAUGGACAGUCUGGCAAAAGCCUCUGCUCUGCCUCCGGGGACAAGAAACUAGAGCAAAUAACCGUUUUGAAAUUAGAUCCUGGCAAAAUUACCAACAAUCAAUGAUGGAAACUGAAGGGAGAUUGAUUUAAAUCUUCAAUGACAGUUGUACAGAAGUUGAAGAAACACGUCAUCUUUCCAAAGAAGAGUGAGUAGCUUGGUUGGUGGUACCCUAAAAUUAGGGCAUGAUUAAGGUACGUCAUUUCUUUUAGUUCAAUCAAAGUGCUUUGCUGUUUCCAUUUCAGAGAAUUUCUUAUUCUUUUUUUCAAUUUCUCUCUCUUCCUCUUCUUCCUCUCAUUAGUAGAUGUCUUUUAUAAUUGAUGUCAUUUACUGUCCUUUCAUCAAAUGUAUGCCACAUCACUUAGGCGAACCAGCAGACAGGGCACCAAAAUACACAUUAGAGGAGACUGGCUUCCAUGAGACGCUUCGACUGUCUCAUCGGGGCACUUGUAAUAAGCAUCUUGGUGCCACUGAAUGCAAUGCUGUAUUCAAAUAAUAGCUUUCAUCUUCACUCUUUUUAAAUAUAAAAGUAAACCUUGAAGCCCUUUGAAGGACCUAACCAAACAACAUACCUAUGAAAAUAGAUCAGUAAGGCUUUGAGAAACAUUCUUAAGUAAAAUCUGUAAAGCAUCUUUGCAUUUUUUUUCAAGAAAGACCUCCAGGUAAAUGAUGGCUUUUAAUAAGACACAUGACAAUCUCAAUUACAAGAAUCAUUAGUGUGUGUCCUGUGCGCCAUUUUAUGUUCCCAGCAGGAUAUAUCUUUUCUCGUCUAGGGUUUCCAGGGCUGUCUACUGUUCUCUAUGUGUAAAACGUAUUUAAGUGUUCCCCCAAUGCUGCACUAAUGUUGAAACAAAACAAAACAAAAACGAAGAAACCUUUGUCAAGUGGUCAGACAGACUGGAACUAGAGGAUUAUAGGUAAGAGAGAUAAAAUGAAGGGUUGAAAGCUAUAAUUUCUAUUUAUGUGGUGGCAACCAAAUCAGCUGUUGGAGUCAGGCAAUUUAAAGAUGUGGCUACUGGAGCUCAGAGUCUGGGAAGAAGACACUUCUGCGUCUGACAGUGAAUCAGGCUCCCAGUUUUGAAGAUGUGCUGUAGGUAGUUCUCGCUGAAUCCAUUUCCCAGUUGGUUUCUAUUCCCCGCCCCAUUCCUGUGUCCCCACACUUUCCACUUGAUUUUACCUCUUUGACAAUUCUAUAUUUUACUUUCCUUCCUCUCAUUCCCCUUUUCCCACCCCCUUUUUUUACUGUAGUUCUUGGCCUCUGACUACUGUUCCAUGCUGGAUGUCCCCAGAAAAUAGAGUAUGUUUAGAAAGGAGACAGUGCAUCUCAGAAGGGCCUCCCCAGUCCACUAGUCCAUUUUUUAAUGUGUUGUGCUCUAUGGGUGUCAGGAAUAUUUGUAGAUGAAGUAAUUUGUGGCAUGAAUUUUGAUAGAAGCAGGAUCACCAACAAAAUGAUAAAUGUAGGUACCUGUCUACCUUGCAUAAUAUUCACUAUGAUCUUGAGAAUUUCAAUGUAUAAUUUGUCUUUAUUCUUAUUUUUCAUUAGAAUUAACAGAAUCUCAGAGCUGGUAGAAAGUAUAGAAACUGUAUAUACAACUCUCAUAUUCAGAUGAAGAAAAUGAUGCACAAAAAAUCAACUGUCCUAAGCCAUUCAGCUUGUCUAUAAGUGCUGUUGGCUUAAUUAUAGUUUUGCAUAUAUUUAGGCAAAGAAAAUACUUUCUCAGAAACUGGUUAGGACUGUUUGAGAAGAAAUAUAAUCAUCAAAAUAUAUACACAGUAAAAUGUAACCGUCCAUCAUUCAACAUAGGCAAGAAUAUAUAUUGAAUUGCCUGAGUGUAUUAUUCGUAUAGCAAAACUUACUUGAAUUUCUAAUAAAUCUUCUGACCUCUGUAUAUGUAUAAAAUAUAUAAACCAACCAAAUUCUGUACAUAAAUAUAUUUUUGGAUACCAGUACAAUCCCUAUUUCACUUUUGUGUAUUCCAGUUAUUUAUUACUCACAGUUCUGUAGUUUUAACCAGAACAAAGGGAUUACCCAGAAGAAAAGAAGGUAAGCUAUUUCAUCAGUUUUGGUGGAAAUCAGAAGUUUUUUUUUCUAUUAUUAGCUUUGUAUUCUUAAAAAAGAAAAAAGAAGGAGAAAAAAAA
ensembl:lncRNA MIR181A1HG MIR181A1 host gene